GAGUAAACAUCAAAAUUAAACAAACUUUCGGCCCAUACUUCCAAAUUAUUUUUGAUAAACUUUGUCUGGAGCUGUAUUUCCGAAUAUGUAUCAAAAUUUCGAAACCUUACUUUCACAUGGAUUCACUAAUGUAGUUCCCAAAUCAGUGCUAUGAAGAACCUAUGUGAAGUUAGGGACUUUAAAAAUUCUUGAUGUAUUUGUGAUUAAUUUGAUAACUUUGGGGUAUAUCACUCAACUUAACAUAAUAAGUGCGAAGUGGAUAACUUAUGGAUACAACACUCUGGAUGUGAUUGACUAAUAGUUAUUAGUCCAAAUUAGUUGUCAUCAUAUAGAACUACUCUUAUGAUCCAAAUCACAUAAGUAUACUUUUGACAAGUAAAAGUAUACUCUUUGCUUGAUCAAGUAACAUUAGCGCAUAUGAUCUAUUCAACAAUCGAUGUGCCGAGAUUACUAAAACUUAUAUAUACUCCCACACAAUUUUUGAUUCAAUCGUUUGAAUGAUGAUUAAAAGAAGUACAUAACUAGUUCUGACAAAAUAGGGGAUAUGAACAAGUCGCGAUGCGUCUAAAAUCCAUAGGACCACAUUCGAGAUUCCAAAGUAUACUUCUGCUGAGUAAUUUUUACCUGAUAUAAAUAAGUUUCCAUAGCGCAUCUGAUGUGUUUAUUUACAGAAUCGAUGUACCGAGGUUAUCAAAACUUAUUUUGCCAAAUUAUCUCAAAUUAUAGUUGAAGGAUGUACUCAACUAGUGAUGGCAAAAAAAGCGGAUGUGAAAAAUCCUGCUCCCGCUAAAAUCCAAUCCAGAUUUCCAAAAUUAUUUGCGUGUUUUGCAAUUUUUACUUUACCUGGAUUGGAUCAAAUGAAAGAAAUAUUUUAUUUUAAUUAAAUAUCAAACAGUUAUUGAUAUACUUAACCAAUAGAAAAUCAACAAUCCCAUUUAUUUUAAUUUAAAAAUGAAUUUAAUAACUUUAAUGUGAUUCUAAUAUAUAAUAAUGCACCUUUAUUAAUUGUAUCUAAAUAUUGUAUUGUAAAAUUGUUAAGUGAAACAAUAAACUUAUCCAUGAUUCGAUAAAUGUUUUCA